ACGGUCCUAAGGUAGCGAAAUUCCUUGUCGGGUAAGUUCCGACCCGCACGAAAGGUGUAACGAUUUGGGCACUGUCUCAACGAGGGACCCGGUGAAAUUGAAGUACCUGUGAAGAUGCAGGUUACCCGCGACUGGACAGAAAGACCCCAUGGAGCUUUACUGUAACCUGACAUUGGGUUCUGAUACAUCACGUACAGGAUAGGUGGGAGGCAUGGAAGCGAGGACGCUAGUCUUCGUGGAGCCGCCGUUGGGAUACCACCCUUGAUGUAUCGGAAUUCUAACCGUAGGAGUAACGAAACUCGGGACAGUGUCAGGCGGGCAGUUUGACUGGGGCGGUCGCCUCCCAAAGAGUAACGGAGGCGCCCAAAGGUUCCCUCAGCGCGGCCGGAAAUCGCGCGAAGAGUGUAAAGGCAGAAGGGAGCUUGACUGAGAGCCAAACACGGCGAUCAGGUACGAAAGUAGGGCUUAGUGAUCCGGUGGCAUCCAAGUGGAAGGGCCAUCGCUCAACGGAUAAAAGCUACCCUGGGGAUAACAGGCUAAUCUCUCCCAAGAGUCCAUAUCGACGGGGAGGUUUGGCACCUCGAUGUCGGCUCAUCACAUCCUGGGGCUGAAGUCGGUCCCAAGGGUUGGGCUGUUCGCCCAUUAAAGUGGUACGUGAGCUGGGUUCAGAACGUCGUGAGACAGUUCGGUCCCUAUCCAUCGCGGGCGCAAGAGAUUUGAAGGGGGCUGCUCCUAGUACGAGAGGACCGGAGUGGACGAACCAAUGGUGUACCAAUUAUCUCGCCAGAGGUAUAGUUGGGUAGCUACGUUCGGAAAGGAUAAACGCUGAAAGCAUCUAAGCGUGAAACCAGCCUUAAGAUGAGAUCUCUCAUAGAGUAAUCUAGUAAGACACCUUGGAGAAGACGAGGUUGAUAGGUCGGGAGUGUAAGUACAGUAAUGUAUUCAGCGGACCGAUACUAAUAUGUCGAGGGCUUGACUUA
rnacentral:rRNA from 1 species